rnacentral:rRNA from 1 species
GGGAUUGCCCUAGUAACGGCGAGUGAAGCGGCAACAGCUCAAAUUUGAAAUCUGGCUUUCGGGCCCGAGUUGUAAUUUGUAGAGGAUACUUUUGAUGCGGUGCCUUCCGAGUUCCCUGGAACGGGACGCCAUAGAGGGUGAGAGCCCCGUCUGGUUGGAUGCCAAAUCUCUGUAAAGUUCCUUCGACGAGUCGAGUAGUUUGGGAAUGCUGCUCUAAAUGGGAGGUAUAUGUCUUCUAAAGCUAAAUAUUGGCCAGAGACCGAUAGCGCACAAGUAGAGUGAUCGAAAGAUGAAAAGCACUUUGAAAAGAGAGUUAAAAAGUACGUGAAAUUGUUGAAAGGGAAGCGUUUAUGACCAGACUUGGACUUGGUUAAUCAUCUGGGGUUCUCCCCAGUGCACUUUUCCAGUUCAGGCCAGCAUCAGUUUUCGCCGGGGGAUAAAGGCUUCGGGAAUGUAGCUCUCUUCGGGGAGUGUUAUAGCCCGUUGUGUAAUACCCUGGCGGAGACUGAGGUUCGCGCUUCUGCAAGGAU